UGCUCAAAAAGACUUUCCGAGGUGGCCCCGUUGGUGUCUUUGUUCCAGCCCGCCCGCCCCGAAAGGCAGGAGUCUCUCUGCCUUCAAGGAGCUGGAAACGCAGUCACAGCUCUCUCACUACAGAGGCCGGGCUUGUGGCAAACCAGGAGUCGUAUUUGUGUUUACUUUCCUGCCUUGCGCAGUUGAGCUGCACUUGAGUGACUCCCAUUAACAAGCAUGAAGUUACUUAAUGGCCUUGCCUGUCUGCUGUUUUCUGUUACGCUGCCAUCCUGUGAACGGCCUUCUGUGCUACCUCUGCUCACUCUGCCCUGAUAACACUGAAUACAGGAACUGUCUCCAUCACCCAGAACUCCCGGAACCAAGCACUCAGCCCGACACGUCAUACUUAUUAAAAACACGGAGGUCGUGAGUGGAUUUCCACGUAUUGUUCUAGAUGAUGGAGAGGCCUGAAGAGUGAGGAGUGGGGAAGAAAUGUCAUCGCUGUUUUCACCUGCACCCUUGUUUCAGAGAAGUGAAUAGUCAUUCAUCUCUGGUCAACAAAAUGAUAAUAGUAGCAGCAACAAUAAUAUUCUCUUUUUUUGAGCACUUCUUAUGUGCCAAGUACUUUAUGUAUGCAUUAUCAUAAUUAAGUCUUUCAACAAUACCAUAAAUCAUAUAAUAUUAUGAUCUCUAUUUUUCCAGGGAGGAAACUGAGGAAUAGAGAGAGUAAGUGGUGGGGGUGGGGGGCGCGGUGGCUCACGCCUGUAAUCCCAACACUUUGGGAGGCCAAGGUGGGCAGAUUGCUUGAGCCCAGGAGUUCAAAACCCACCUGAGCAACAUGACAAAAACCCAUCUCUAUAAAAGAUAUAAAAAUCAGCAGGGCGUGAUGGUGUGUGCCACCAGUCCCAGCUACUCAGGAGACUGAGGUGGGAGGAUCACUUGA
rnacentral:lncRNA from 10 species